rnacentral:pre_miRNA from 1 species
UUUAAAUACAACCAUAAGUUUACGUGCUUGACUUUAAUCGUCCAUCUAAUUUAAUUUUUUUUAUAAUUAGUAUUUUUGUUGUUAUGAGAUGAUAAAACAUGAAUAAUACUUUGCUUGUGACUUACUCCCUCCGUUUCAC